rnacentral:rRNA from 1 species
AACGAACGCUGGCGGCAUGCCUAACACAUGCAAGUCGAACGAGACCUUCGGGUCUAGUGGCGCACGGGUGCGUAACGCGUGGGAAUCUGCCCUUGGGUUCGGAAUAACAGUUAGAAAUGACUGCUAAUACCGGAUAAUGUCUUCGGACCAAAGAUUUAUCGCCCAGGGAUGAGCCCGCGUAGGAUUAGCUAGUUGGUGAGGUAAAGGCUCACCAAGGCGACGAUCCUUAGCUGGUCUGAGAGGAUGAUCAGCCACACUGGGACUGAGACACGGCCCAGACUCCUACGGGAGGCAGCAGUGGGGAAUAUUGGACAAUGGGCGAAAGCCUGAUCCAGCAAUGCCGCGUGAGUGAUGAAGGCCUUAGGGUUGUAAAGCUCUUUUACCCGGGAUGAUAAUGACAGUACCGGGAGAAUAAGCCCCCGGGCUAACUCCGUGCCAGCAGCCGCGGUAAU